rnacentral:rRNA from 1 species
AUUGAACGCUGGCGGAAUGCUUUACACAUGCAAGUCGAACGGCAGCACGGACUUCGGUCUGGUGGCGAGUGGCGAACGGGUGAGUAACAUAUCGGAACGUAUCCAAUAAUGGGGGAUAACGAGUCGAAAGAUUCGCUAAUACCGCAUACGCCCUACGGGGGAAAGCUGGGGACCUUCGGGCCUGGCGUUAAUGGAGCGGCCGAUAUCUGAUUAGCUAGUUGGUGAGGUAAGGGCUCACCAAGGCGACGAUCAGUAGCGGGUCUGAGAGGACGACCAGCCACACUGGAACUGAGACACGGUCCAGACUCCUACGGGAGGCAGCAGUGGGGAAUUUUGGACAAUGGGCGCAAGCCUGAUCCAGCCAUUCCGCGUGAGUGAAGAAGGCCUUCGGGUUGUAAAGCUCUUUCGCAAGGGAAGAAAACUUAGCCACUAACAUUGGUUGAGGUUGACGGUACCUUGAUAAGAAGCACCGGCUAACUACGUGCCAGCAGCCGCCGUAA